GACGAACGCUGGCGGCGUGCCUAACACAUGCAAGUCGAACGGGGCACCUUCGGGUGCUUAGUGGCGAACGGGUGAGUAACGCGUGAGAAACCUGCCUUUCAGUGGGGGACAACAGUUGGAAACGACUGCUAAUACCGCAUAAUGUUAUUUAAGGGCAUCCUUGAAUAACCAAAGCUUUAUGUGCUGAAAGAUGGUCUCGCGUCUGAUUAGCUAGAUGGCGGGGUAACGGCCCACCAUGGCGACGAUCAGUAGCCGGUCUGAGAGGAUGAACGGCCACAUUGGGACUGAGAUACGGCCCAGACUCCUACGGGAGGCAGCAGUGGGGAAUAUUGGGCAAUGGGGGAAACCCUGACCCAGCAACGCCGCGUGAAGGAAGAAGGCCUUCGGGUUGUAAACUUCUUUUACCAGGGACGAAUAAAAUGACGGUACCUGGAGAAAAAGCAACGGCUAACUACGUGCCAGCCGCCGCAGUAAUAC
rnacentral:rRNA from 1 species